UGGCAUAGAGGGUAAAGCGUCUGCCUGCAAUGCAGGAGACCCGGGUUUGAUCCCUGG
rfam:TPA: Bos taurus chromosome 2, whole genome shotgun sequence.